AGCGGGUCUGGUUGUGUUGGGGGUUUGCGUGGACUUGCGUUUGUGCGCCUGGAUGCGUCAACAGAGAAGGGAGGAGGAGAGGAAGAAGGUCCAAAAGGACUGGGGCGGAGUCUGUACCCAGGUGUGUUCUGAUUUCCCGGGGAGAUCUCUGCCUGGGCGAGAUGGCUCGCAUUUUUGGUGUCCAGUGCUCAAGCGAGUUUUCUGUAUCGGGUCCUCGUUAGUAUAGUGGUGAGUAUCUCCGCCUGUCACGCGGAAGACCGGGGUUCGAUUCCCCGACGAGGAGUAUAUAUGCCUUUUUCUCCCGGACUCUACUUUGCUGGCUAUUUUUGUCCUGCACCUGGCCCCCCCGGACACGAUUCCUUCAUGUGGCUCCAGGGCUGGGGCGCCCCGGCACACCGGCCCUGAGCAUGCUUGGCUCCUGCCCGCAGGCCCUUUAAGGGGCCACGGGUGGAGAAGCCGCCGCUCUGAGGCCACCCAACUGGCACCGCGGGAGCAGGAAGCUAAGGCAAACGACACGAUGGCGUGCGGUGGUUGUGCGGGUCAUUGCCCACCUCGGAGGCCGGCUCAGCAUCCUUUCGUCCUCUGUCCUAUGGCAGCCUGGGCAGCGAUUGGAUCCUCUUGGGCUUCCAGCCUCAGCUACUGCUGCCCAGAAGGCUUUGCUCCCUGAGACUACAAGCUUCCUCCGGAAAGGCCGACAGCGGCCGUGCCUCUUCCCCAGCCUGGGGGCGAGAGGAUGGUUGCGGACUUCGUGUGCAAGUUAGGAAUGGACUGCAGAUAGUGGUGUCGGGGACUUGAGGGUCAGCAGAGAGGAGGCUGAGAGAGGGGAAAUAGAGUAUGUUGCAUGGGCAGACGGAAGAUGAUUUAUGUGGUGAGGCUAACUGAACAAGAAAAGGCGGCCGUGAUUGCUGAGUCCCCAGAGUCUUGGUUGCUCCCUGGUGAUCUACGAGUUAAACCCUGGAGUUUUUACAGCCAGGACCCAGGUUCGAUUCUCCGCCAAAGAGUAUCUAUAGUUUGGUUGGCUUGGAGCACCGACUGCUGGUUUCCCUCCUGUAACAAUUCUGCACUCCACCCGGCUUGGCAGUACUUAAGCCUCAUUAAGCACUGCUAAGACUCCUACAAAUCAGCCUUCACCUGGCCAAGUCACAGCCAAACAGUUCCUCAGAACUCGCACCAGCCUUCCUAAAAAGUGGUCAAGGUGGAAAGGUGUUCACCUUCGACGGGCUUUGCGACAAGACAGGGCAAGAAGUUUGCCUCCAACUUGUAUGAUGCUUUUAGGUCUCCUGUGCUGGAUCUUCCUCCAGGUGUUGCUGACUAACUGGACUUGAAACUGUCACUACACACCUAUGCUGAAUGUUUAUUGACUUGUAUGACAAGGGAUCCUCUCAACGAUUUGGUAACAAUCAAGAAUGCCCCAUUGAAGGAGAGAGUGCUCAUACAACUUGAGUGAAAGGAGAGGGUAGCAUCUUAAAAGAAGCCUCUAAUGCUUCAUGUUGCUUGCAAGAAUUGCUACUCUCUGAGAAAUGCUGGAGGGAAGGUGGAAAAAUAGGAACACUAACGGACUGUUAGUGGAGUCCUGACCAUUCUGGAGAACUAUUUGGAACUAUGCCCUAAAAACUGC